GUGCAUUCUAACAUCUCAAUAGCAGUUCCUCAAACAGCGUUCAUGGUUUACGCCACGAGGUAUGAGAGGCCGAGAGGGGCACAUCUGCAUUCUUCUGCCCAAAAAAAAACGAUGCAUGUGAUGAUGACAACCGUAGGACCGAAUGGAUAGUGAAGAAAAUGUGUCAUGGCAACAUUGCUCAUUGACUUGGAGGUUUCAUUCAGUUGUACUACAAAUAAUGCUCUCAUUACUGACACUUCAUUCAUCCAAUGACCUUGCGAUGGAAGCCUCAGCAAGUGGAUGUGUUGUUGGAGGAGACCUAUCCAGGCCCCAAUGGAAUAACUUCUCA